rnacentral:snRNA from 1 species
AUACUUACUUGGAGGGAGAAACACUGUGAUUACGGAGGUGGUGUUUUUUUCUGGGCGUGGUUCACUUUGUGUUGAUCUCUGCGAUUUCUCCAAAUGUGGGUAACUCCACUGUAUAAUUUGUGGUAGUAGGGGACUGCGUUCGCACUUAACUCCUG